rnacentral:misc_RNA from 1 species
GAAAGGGUGAGUUUGUUUAAUUGAGAAAGCUAGGGUUUUCAUUCCGCCAUCUAACUGCGACCAGAACCUCACCAUAUCCAAGUGCAAUGAAUUGUGAAGUCUGCCAACUCAAAGAAUUGGAAGUUGAGCAGUUCGAGAUACGCGAAGUUCUGCGCUGCAUACUGCACACAAUCGUAUUUCAUCGAGCUUUAGGUCUUGUUCG